CGUCUUCAGGGCAGGGUGAAAUUCCCGACCGGCGGUAAAGUCCGCGAGCUGUUUACAGCAUGAAUUGGUGCAAUUCCAAUACCGAUAGUACAGUCUAGAUGGAAGAGAG
rnacentral:ncRNA from 1 species